UAAAAGACUGCAAGCGAAGAAGAAUAAGAAGCUUUUAGAGUAAACAAGAAAACUUGUUUGCUUACCAAAAUUAUUGCCUUAAACUUCAAGCCCAGCUAAUUGCGGGACCGUAAGAGCUAAUAAGCGCCACAUUAAUGGUAGUGUUCGGAGGGGGAGGAGGGCCUCUCAAUCUCCUAUAGCCUAGAAGGGCAGUUGCUGUCGCUAAAUGAGAUUGACGGAAUAUCCCUGAAAUAUACACCACCGUAAAUGCUAAGAACCCUUCAGAGGACGAUGGCCAUCGAUUAAUGA
rnacentral:misc_RNA from 1 species